UUGUGCGUGAUGUGAUUCAGUCGUUCACUGGCAAUUGCCACGUUUACAUAGCAAGACAGUCUCGUCGUACAAGUGAACCAAACAACCAAACUAAAUAUUCUACUAUCAUCAUCAUGUCUAGAGUGUGUCGAAUUUGCAAAUUGUGUAGAGUGUUCAUGCAUUGUCUGGAGCCAAGUAACGAUCAAGCGAAAAAUAUUUUGAGUAUGCUGGAAUACAUUGUAAGCACAAAUGAAUCGAAUGCGUUGCCAAAUUUCAUAUGUAAUCCAUGUUUGGAUCAUCUAAAAUAUAUAUAUCAUUUCAAGCGCAAAUUAGCAGAAGCUCUAUUGGUAAUAAAACCGGAGAAGGUCAGUGAUGUAAGUCAAGAAAUCAAACCAAAUUCCGAAGAAAAAAAUGAUCGACCACACGCGUGCUCAAUUUGUGACAAAAAAUUCAGAACAAAAGAAAAUUUUGAAUCGCAUUACGAACGACACUCAACAAAACGUCGUCAAUAUAGCUGUAAAAACUGUCGCCUAUGCUUUUUGGUUUUAAAACAUUAUUAUGAUCAUGCUUGCAAAUCACAUUAAACAGAGGAAAAAACUACGCAGCAAAUUCAAAGAGAGAAAAGAAUUACAACUCCGUUUUGUAGCCAUUGGAUACAUUUUUUUUCUUCAUACAUACCCAUACUGAUAAACAUAUAACAUAGACAUGUGCUGCAACCCGACUAAAUACAUUCACAUUUAUUGCGUGCCUAUCAUACAAGCAUCACGCAUACAAACACACCAACGUUUUGUUCAAGAUUCAGUGACAGUUUGUUUUCACAAAGAAAAUAACAAUCGAGCGAAUGGAAGGACUCUUAAAUUUGACACUCAUUUAAGACAAAAUAUCUGUAGAAGUGUUUAAAAAUGUCAAAAAUUUGUGAAAUUUGUAAAGAGGCCGAAAGUGUGCCAGCACAGAAAGUGGACUUCACCAAUAUCGAUGAAAUGUUGGAUGAUAUAUUGAAUAAUGCGACCCGUUCAACGAUACAAAAUAUUUGUGAGAUAUGUAUUGGCAAUUUGGUUUCUGCAUGUCAAUUCAAAAAUCGAUAUCAACGGUCGAUCGAUGCAUUUCUACCGGAAACCAAACCAAAUGACUCAAACUCAAGAGCGGCUAACAUCGAGAAUUUCAAACCGAAUGGUGAAAAUCGACAAUUUGAAAUUAUCACAAUCACACAAGAAACGGAUACUCAUCGGCCUUUUACUUGUGAUCGAUGCCAAAAAUCAUUCCUGAAACAAGGCCUUUUCAAACAACAUUGCCAGCGACAUUUGAACAAACGCAAUCAAAAGAUUUGUAAAAAAUGUAAUUCGAAAUUUUUGACAUCUACGAGUUUUAAGAAACAUUCAUGUAAAUGAGAACAUUGGACGCUACUUUUCAUUUGUUAAGACGCACACACAUACAUACUCAAUUCCUGCAAUAAAUAUAUUUCAUUCUGAAAAUUGACAUUUGCAUAUGAGAAACAUAAAGAAUAAACACUUUAUAUACAGAACAAAGAAAAAACCGUUAAGUUAUCAUUUCUCAGAUUCAAUGGUGCAGCUCAACACAUGUUUACGAAAGCAAAAUUGAAUGUAAUGAUUGUCGCUGCUUGCACAGUGUAUAAAAUGCACAUGACGUUGACAGUUCCAAAUCCAUUCCAAACCUAACCGUCAUUCGUGUUACAAGCACAAAUUCAAAAGAAUCACCAAUUUUCCGCACAAAUGUAAAAAAUGUCUUCGAAAAUGUGUUGUGUUUGCCAUCAAAACCGCGGUGACUUGAUUAAUUUGGAAUUUAAAGACGAGGCUGAAUCCAUUUUGACAAAAUUGAAAGAAUUCAUUGAUUUAACUAUAAUGAAAAAGGAUCCAAAUAUCGAGUAUAUUUGCUAUCCAUGCAGCCUCGAGCUAGACGAAGCAUUUAAUUUCACACAAAAUUGCAAAAAAUCAAUGUCUGUACACACGAUACAGAAACCGGAUUUCAAAUGUGGCGAAUGCUUCAUGAAAUUCAAAAACCUCAAAGAUUUGGAUCUACACAAUACCAGCCAUCAAUCAAUUAAUGUUAGAGAUGAUGAUGACGAUGACCCAGAGGAUUUCUCGUAUGCAGCAGGAACUGCAAAUCCAAGUCAAAUAUCACAAAAAAUGCCUACAACGGGAUACAGCAACAAAUUCAAAAUUCCGCUGGUCAGUUCAGCAGGUCAAAACGAGCCGACAACGAGCUACAUUUGCCGAAUUUGCAAGCAAACAUUUCAAAAACAAUGUGGACUAUCGAUGCAUGCCAAGUGGCACAACAUAAAAAAAGAACAAUUCAAAUGUGAACACUGCAGCUGUGUUUUCCUGAGAAAAGAACAAAUGAAUAAACACAUUCGAAAAGCACACCUUUAGCGCUUUUCAAAUGUUUUAUAAUCUAAACGAUCGAUUUUUAUAAACUUUUGCUUGAAUUAAAUUUAAGAAGAGGAUUUUUUCAAAAAAAAAAAAAUAAAGGAACUUUUUAUCAU